AUGGCUCUCAACAAUGGAUAUCUUGGCUCUUACAUUGAUGAAGAAUGUAGCAAAAUGCGAUACUUGGUGUGAAUUACAGAAUCCCAUCAACUAUUGAAUCUUUGAAUGCAAGUUGCCCCCCAAGCCAUUAGACCGAGGGCACGUCUACUUGGGUGUCAUGCAUCAUUGCCCCCUCUAACCCCUCACCCAUUAGGUUCUAAGUGAGGGGGGAAUAUAGUUUCCCAUGAUCUCAUUGAUCAUGGCUAGCCCAAAAAUGAGUCCCUAGCAAUGACAGUGCGAUAACUUUUGUUGGUAAAACUCUUAAAGUGCCUCAUCUCCAGUGACACAUGCUCAUUGUCCAUCCAAACCCCAUUGGACCCCUCACAUCACUCGAUCAAUGCUUGCAUCAUGAGUUUUAAGCAUAUCAAUAAGUAGAGGAAAUAAAACUUACCAGGAUUACCCUAGUAAAGGUGAGCAAACCAAUAACAAUCCAACUUGAGAAUCGGGUGCCUGUAGCAUUUGAAUUUUAGUAUAGAGAAGCAUCCUUAGUGGCAAACUAGGCCCAAGUCCCUUAGAAAGGGGCACCAGAGAGGGUGAGAGCCUAUUGUGCCUGGACCCUAUCAUACCAUGGGCAAGAGUCCACUAGUGAACAUGUAUCAUUAGGGAAAGAUGAAAUGGUCUUUAAAAAGAGAGUGCAAGAGUGCUUGAAAUUGUUGGGAGGGAAAUGGAUGGGGGUCGAUGAUGCACCCAGGUUGGAUGUGGAAUAGUGAGAGCUGAUCCAUCAAUAGCUUGGGGCAUGGAUCGAUGUGAAUCACAGUGCCGACCUAAGCCCGAGCUUUCAAUAUGCCCAUGGAGACAUUGUUCAUGCAUUCAUGGAAUGCGGCAUGUGCUAUCUUGGCAUGCCAUGACACUUGUGUGCUCUCAACAUUGGCCUAUGGCCUUCCUAUCUAGCCUAUCUUAAAACAUGACAAAGAGUCUGACAUGUGUGUGAGUCAAUGGGCAACAAAACCCAUAAGGCACAAGGAAGUUGAUAGGCAAGAUCCUUAAUAGGUACAUCGACCUUGAUCCUCUGAGAAGGGUUUGAGUGUGAGCAUGCCUGUUAGGACCCAAAAGAUGGUUAACUAUGCCUAAGCAGGGCAAAGCCAAUGAAAACUCUAGUGGAGGCCUGUAGUGACACUGAUGUGCAAAUUGUUCACCUACCUUAGAUAUAGGGUCAAAAUACUAAUCGAACCAUCUAAUAGUUAGUUCCCUCUAAAGUUUCCCUUAGGAUAGCUAGAGCUUUUAUCGAGUUCUAUUAGGUAAAGCCAAUGAUUAGAGGCAUCAGGGGCAUAAUGCUCUCAACCUAUACUUAAGUUUUAAAUAGGUAGGACAGCAUGACUAUUUUGUUAGGCCAUGCCAUGGAAGCAGGAGUUCCAAGUGGGCCAUUUUUGUUUUUUGGUAAGCAAAAUUGGUGAUACAAGAUGAACUGGAUGCCAGGUUACGGUGCCUAAUCGUGUGCUAACCUAUAACCCACAAUGGGUGUUGGUUGAUUAAGACAUUAGGAUAGUGGUCAUGGAAGUCAAAAUUCGUUAAGGAAUGUGUAAGAACUCACAUUUUGAAUCAACUAACCUUGAAUAUGGAUGGCGCUUAAAGUGCUUCCUGUACCCGAUAGUCAGGGCAAUGGCCAGGCCCUAAUGAGUAAUAGGGCACAGUGGUCAUUGCAAAACCCAAGGUGCUAGCCUAGGUAGAACGACCGUCAGUGCAGAUCUUGGUGGUAGCAGCAAAUAUUUGAAUGAGAACUUUGAAGGCCGAAUAAGGGGAGGGUUCCAUGUGAAUGGCACUUACACAUGGGUUAAUCAAUCCUAAGAGAUGGGGGAAGCUUGUCCAAAGUGCAUCCAUCGCAACCUUCAAAAGGUAAUUAGGUUAAAAUUCUUGAACUAGGAUGCGAUAGCUGAUGGCAAUAUUAGGGAGUCCGGAGACAUCAAUAGCGGCCUUGGGAAAAGUUAUCUUUUCUAUUUAAUAGCCUACCCACCUUAGAAAUAGCUUAGCCAAAGGUAGGCUCCAGUGGCCAUAAGAGCACCACACAUUACGUGGUGUCCAGUGUGCCCUUAAUGACCCUUGAAAAUCUAGAGUAUUAAGUGCCAUCAGCCCUCAGUCUACUUAUAACUACAUCAAGAUUCUAAGGUGAUUAGCCUCUGGUUGAUGGAACAAUGUAGGUAAGGGAACUUUGUAAAAUGGAUCUAUAACCUCGAAAAAAAGAUUGGCUCUUAAGGCUGGGCAUGAGGUCCCAAUCCCAAAUCUAUCGAUGAUCGAUGCAUUGCUUAAGUUGCUCUUAUGACAAGAGUGGCUCACCAUGUGCCGGCCAGGUGAUGGACUAGGAACAGCUUUCUCAAGGGCUUUCCCUGGGUGAUGAAUAGUCGACUUAAAACUAGCACGAACAAGGGAAAUCCAAUUGUUUAUUUAAAACAAAGCAUUGCAAUGGUCCCUAUAAAUGCUCAUAUAAUGUGAUUUCUACCCAGUGCUUUGAAUAUCAAAGUGAAGAAAUUCAACCAAGCAUAGGUAAACAAUAGGAAUAACUAUGACUCUCUUAAGGUAACCAAAUGCCAGGUCAUCUAAUUAGUGAUGCCUAUGAAUAGAUUAAUGAGAUUCCCACUGUCCUUGUCUACUAUCUAGCAAAACCACUAGUAAGGGAAUGGACUUGCCAAAAUUAGCAUGGAAAGAAGACCCUAUUAACCUUGACUCUAGUUCAAUUUUGUGAAAUGACUUGAGAGGUGUAGGGUAAGUGGAAGCCCUUAAGCAAAAUUGAAAUACUACUACUUUUAAUGUUAUUUUACUUAGUUUAUGAAUUAGAAUGGGGCAUGAACCCUUCUUUUUAACCCAAGGCCAGCAUUGGUUAGUUGAUUCAGGUAAAAGGCAUUGUUAGGUGGGAAGUUUGGUUCGGGUAGCACAUUUAUUAAAAGAUAAUGCAGGUGUCCAAAGAUAAGCUCAAUGAGAACAAAAAUCUCGUACAGAAUAAAAAGGUGAAAACUCAGUUGAUUUUCAUUUCCAAUAUGAAUACAAACCAUUAAAGCAUGGCCUAUUAAUCCUUUAAACCUUCAAAAUUUAAAGCUAGAGGUGUCAAAAAAGUUACCACAGAUAUAACUAGCUUGUGGCAGCCAAGCAUUCAUAGCGACUUUGCUUUUUAAUCCUUCGAUGUCAGCUCUUCCAAUCAUUGUGAAGUAGAAUUCAUCAAGUGUUGGAUUGUUCACCCACCAGUUGAGAACAUGAGCUAGGUUUAGACCAUCAUGAGAUAGGUUAGUUUUACUCUACUAAUGGCAACGUCAUAAUAGUUAUUCAACCUAGUAUGAGAGGAAUUGUUGAUUCACUCAAUUAGCCAUUGUGCAUGGUUGAAAGCCAGUGGUGUGAAGCUACUGUGUGCUAGAUUAUGAUUGAAUACCUCUAAGUCAAUCCGAGCUAAAAGUAAUGCACAUGCUUGUCACUCGAUUGCCAACCCACAGUAAGAGCCCAUGGCCCCAAAGUGUAUGUGACGUAGGUGUAGCCUUGGCAAUGGACAAGCCACACUAGCCUCCUAGGAGCUCAAUUC
rnacentral:rRNA from 1 species